CAUUAGCUGGACAUGCGACAAAGCUCGUGGAUGGCAUUGCAUAGAUGAUGUAUUAAAUUAAUGUGAAGUUGUUGGAUGCUCGAGCAGGUGGCAUAUCUUACGCAUCACAAUUUCAUCCAAUCAUAGUCAGCCACAACCUAAACUUUAUCAUCUAAAAGAAUAUAAAGUGCAUUAAAUUAUUGAUUUCUUAGUAAAAAAGGACAUAUAUUUUGCACAUAUAUGGACUAGGGCAUGAUAGGCAUUUAACUUCGAAUGCAAAAUCUAUGUUAAGCUCUUUCCUUUUACAAAUUUGACAUUUUGUUGCACCUAAAAUGGAUACACAUGCCCUCUUCUUUUUUCUCCUCCAAUCUUGUUUUGAUAACGCAACAAAUGUUAACAUAUAAGUCAUCCUUUACAUCCAAUCCUCUAUAUCAUAC
rnacentral:lncRNA from 1 species